rnacentral:rRNA from 1 species
GUGCAGCAGGCGCGAAACUUUACAAUGUGCGAAAGCACGAUAAGGGAACUCUGAGUGCCUCCUAAGGAGGCUGUUCAGGUGUCUAAAAGCACCUGAAGGAAGGGCUGGGUAAGACCGGUGCCAGCCGCCGCGGUAACACCGGCAGCCCAAGUGGUAGCCACGUUUAUUGGGUCUAAAGCGUCCGUAGCCGGCUGGGUAAGUUCCUUGGGAAAUUUGGCUGCUUAACAGUCAAGCUUUCAGGGAAUACUGCUCGGCUUGGGGACCGGGAGAGGUCAGAGGUACUCCAGGGGUAGGGGUGAAAUCCAUUAAUCCUUGGGGGACCACCGGUAGCGAAGGCGUCUGACCAGACCGGGUCCGACGGUGAGGGACGAAGGCUAGGGGGCGCGAACCGGAUUAGAUACCCCUGUAGU